GAUGAACGCUAGCGGCAGGCUUAACACAUGCCAGUCGAGGGGCAGCGCGGGAUAGCAAUAUCCUGGCGGCGACCGGCGGAAGGGUGCGUAACGCGUGAGCGACAUGCCCGUUGCCCGGGGACAACCGGUGGAAACGCCGACUAAUCCCCGAUGGGAUACGAUGCUUCAUGGCAUUGUAUUGAAAGUUACGGCGGCGACGGAUUGGCUCGCGUCCGAUUAGCUGGUUGGCGGGGUAACGGCCCACCAAGGCUGCGAUCGGUAGGGGUUCUGAGAGGAAGGCCCCCCACAAUGGGACUGAGACACGGCCCAUACUCCUACGGGAGGCAGCAGUGAGGAAUAUUGGUCAAUGGGAGGAAGCCUGAACCAGCCAUGCCGCGUGCGGGAAGGAGGCCCUAUGGGCUGUGAACCGCUUUUGCCUGGGGGCAAUAAGGGCGUCGCGCACGUCCGAUGAGAGUACCAGGCGAAUAAGCAUCGGCUAACUCCGUG
rnacentral:rRNA from 1 species